CCCUGGUGACACCGGGUGUCCCCACAGACCCUGUACACGUACCCCGAGAACUGGCGGGCGUUCAAGGCGCUGAUUGCGGCUCAGUACUCGGGCGCGCGGCUCCGGGUGCUCUCCGGGCCCCCCCACUUCCACUUCGGCCACACCAACCGCAGCCCCCAGUUCCUGCAGAAAUUCCCGCUGGGAAAGGUUCCGGCCUUCGAGGGCGAUGACGGAUUCUGCGUCUUCGAGAGCAACGCCAUCGCCUACUACGUGAGCACGGAGGAGCUGCGGGGCAGCACCAACACCCUUUAGUUAUCAUCCCU